rnacentral:rRNA from 1 species
GAUGAACGCUGGCGGCGUGCCUAAUACAUGCAAGUCGAGCGAACAGACGAGGAGCUUGCUCCUCUGACGUUAGCGGCGGACGGGUGAGUAACACGUGGAUAACCUACCUAUAAGACUGGGAUAACUUCGGGAAGCCGGAGCUAAUACCGGAUAAUAUAUUGAACCGCAUGGUUCAAUAGUGAAAGACGGUUUUGCUGUCACUUAUAGAUGGAUCCGCGCCGCAUUAGCUAGUUGGUAAGGUAACGGCUUACCAAGGCGACGAUGCGUAGCCGACCUGAGAGGGUGAUCGGCCACACUGGAACUGAGACACGGUCCAGACUCCUACGGGAGGCAGCAGUAGGGAAUCUUCCGCAAUGGGCGAAAGCCUGACGGAGCAACGCCGCGUGAGUGAUGAAGGUCUUCGGAUCGUAAAACUCUGUUAUUAGGGAAGAACAAAUGUGUAAGUAACUAUGCACGUCUUGAUGGUACCUAAUCAGAAAGCCACGGCUAACUACGUG